AAAAGUCUAGGAAAACAUCCCUUUGGAA
rnacentral:sRNA from 1 species